GCGGAUAUGGCGAAAUUGGUAGACGCACCAGAUUUAGGUUCUGGCGCUGAAAGGCGUAAGAGUUCGAGUCUCUUUAUCCGCA
rnacentral:tRNA from 1 species